GACGAACGCUGGCGGCGUGCUUAACACAUGCAAGUCGAACGAUGACCUCCGUGCUUGCACGGGGUGAUUAGUGGCGAACGGGUGAGUAACACGUGAGUAACCUGCCCCCCACUCUGGGAUAACCUCGGGAAAUCGGGGCUAAUACCGGAUAUGAGUUUCCGCCGCAUGGUGGUUUCUGGAAAGUUUUUCGGUGGGGGAUGGACUCGCGGCCUAUCAGUUUGUUGGUGAGGUAAUGGCUCACCAAGGCGAUGACGGGUAGCCGGCCUGAGAGGGCGACCGGCCACACUGGGACUGAGACACGGCCCAGACUCCUACGGGAGGCAGCAGUGGGGAAUAUUGCACAAUGGGCGAAAGCCUGAUGCAGCGACGCCGCGUGAGGGAUGACGGCCUUCGGGUUGUAAACCUCUUUCAGUAGGGAAGAAGGGAGCUUGCUCUUGACGGUACCAGCAGAAAAAGCACCGGCUAACUACGUGCCAGCCGCCGCCGUAAUAC
rnacentral:rRNA from 1 species